AAUGAACGUUGGCGGCGUGGAUUAGGCAUGCAAGUCGCGCGACAAGGAACCUUCGGGUUCUGGAGGAGCGGCAAACGGGGUAGUAAGGCAUCGGAACGUACCCUCUUGUUGGGAAUAGCCGCGGGAAACUGCGAGUAAUGCCCAAUAAUCCCUACGGGGCAAAGGUCCGCCGCAGGAGGAGCGGCCGAUGUGAUACCAGCUAGUUGGUGAGGUAAUGGCUCACCAAGGCUUAGACGUCUAGGGGGUGUGAGAGCAUGGCCCCCACCACUGGGACGUGAGAUACUGCCCACGACACCUACGGGUGGGCUGCAGUCGAGAAUCUUCGGCGAAUAGGGCGGCAAGACCUCGACCGACGCAACGACCGCCGUGCGGGAGUGAAGG
rnacentral:rRNA from 1 species